ensembl:snoRNA
GUCCUUUUGUGUUUCAUAAGCGUGACAAUUGGAGUUUUGCAAUACUGUGUGAGAUGUGUCUCCUUCAUACUUUGUUAUGAUGUCAGCACAUUACCUGUCUGAUG